UGGGGAAUAUUGCACAAUGGGGGAAACCCUGAUGCAGCGACGCCGCGUGAACGAAGAAGGUAUUCGUAUCGUAAAGUUCUGUCCUAUGGGAAGAUAAUGACUGUACCAUAGAAGAAAGCUCCGGCUAAAUACGUGCCAGCAGCCGCGGUAAUACGUAUGGAGCGAGCGUUGUCCGGAAUUAUUGGGCGUAAAGGGUACGCAGGCGGUUUAAUAAGUCGAAUGUUAAAGAUCGGGGCUCAACCCCGUAAAGCAUUGGAAACUGAUAAACUUGAGUAGUGGAGAGGAAAGUGGAAUUCCUAGUGUAGUGGUGAAAUACGUAGAUAUUAGGAGGAAUACCAGUAGCGAAGGCGACUUUCUGGACACAAACUGACGCUGAGGUACGAAAGCGUGGGGAGCAAACAGG
rnacentral:rRNA from 1 species